AAAAUCUGUGAAACUGUUCCCACCCAGAGGAGCCUCAGGAGACUUGAUGACUAAUCGAAACGUGGUAUCCUGGAUGGGAUCCUGGAAUAGAAACAUGACAUUAGCCUGCAGAACAGACCCCCCCCAGGGACAAGCCCGCACCUUUCCUGGACUUCUCUGGCUGGCCUUCGAACCCUCUUCCCUUAUUUGAACAUUUCUCUCUCAUCUGCCUUUGCCUGUGGCUCUCGGGUCCUGCACACGCAAAGGCACCCCAAAGGCAAUGGGACCUAAGAUUGAUUUUAAAAACUCCUGCUUUUGGUUUUUCCCAACUGCAAAAUCCCCACGAGAACAGAGAAUAAGUACAAGCUGCACAUACUUCUACCACCGGAGGAACGUAACUGCUGAAAGGCAAACUCUGGAUCCUGGGAAUCUAGAAUGACCUUUGUUGGUCUAGCUUCUGCCUCACCUCCCUGUUUUACGUCGAUCCACUGAACUUAAUUCAACACCGGAAUGUCCAUAACGUCUUGCGCAGACUAUCGGUGGGAGGUGAGACCUCGGAGAGUCCAUUCACCUCUCUUUCUCCAGAUGUGAGAACUGGCCCGUUCUUCCUGUCCCAGCCCAAUCGCAGCUGCCUUUGAUCUUAAGCUGUGUGAAAACAGCCAUUCAAAUUCUAGUCAUUUCCACCAGAGCAAGUGGGGUCAGAACCAGCUGUGUUUCUAGAUGCCCAUGCACCUAGAUAUGAACAGAGCGCUGGGGGCCCGUGAGAACAGCCGACGGGGGCCAUCCUGGAUUGGAUCUCUGUCCCAGCACUCGUUAGCUGUGUGACAGUGAGUGGAUCAUACUGUCUGCAGCCAAGAACCCAUGGCCCCGUGUAGCCUCUCCCAGCUGAAAGGGAGGUUGUGAGGACUGAAGAAGAGAAGCAGGGAGAGUGCUUGGCACAGUGUCUAGCACAUAGUAAGCACCCAAUAAAAGAUAAUGCUUGGCUAAUAAAUAUAACGAUAAUAGCAGACUUCCUAAUUGAUGUUCUGCUGGGAUCCCAGGUACCUGUGUUUUGCUGUUCUUUGCUGUCACCUAGCAGGCUCCCAUUGGGUGGCACUGAAGCCCAUACACGGACCCAGCUCCCACUGGGGAGUCAUCCCAGACGGUUUCUGGAAGCUGGACUUGUCCCCUGAGCACCUGAGUAUCUCAUCUAGAUCACCCUGAGGGCAGGACUCGUGGCUUGUAACAACCUGAGAACAGGGACUAUGUCUUCCAGGUCUGUAUCUUCACUCUCAAAAAAAUCUUUGCUGAAUGAGUGAAUGAAUGAAUGCAAAAAGGACCCUGAUCCAGCUCUAGUUGAAUUUCUUCAUCCUCUCCAGCUCCAGCUAAGUCACUGUUUAAUGUGCCUCUCGCCUGUCUCUGGGGCUCUGGGUCCUCCUGGACGAGGGACUCUCUUCUCUCCUGGUUGCCCAUCCACACCCCGAGCCUCCCACCUGGAGCCGCCCGCCCCUCCCUUGGCAGGAACAGUGGAGGCUGAGGUAGACCUGAGCUGAGGCAGACCGGGGCUG